AAUACGUAAAUCACACAAGGAACAUAAAAUACAACAUUUUUUCUAUUUUCUAUUUUUAUGGAAUAAUUAAUGUUGUCCACUCCUUGAGGAAAUUCAAUUAAUGUCAGUGGUUAUGUAAACCAAAGACUCAACUAUUAAACCUAAUCAAACAUAAAAAUUGGUGUCAAAUCUGUUCAUUAAUAUUCCAAAAACGUACAUUUUUAAUUAUUUAGGUAUAUUUGUUCUUUUAACAAGAUGAUUAAUUGCAGUGUGACUAUUUUACGUAUAAAACAGUGAACUGGGGCAAAAUUGUUUAUUAUACUGUAAUACUUUUAGAAAACAAACAUCUUAAACAUGCGUCUUGUAACAGUGUCAAUUGUGUUAUUGGUGUGUAUACUUAUUUCAUCUAUUGAAGCCUUCAGCUUCAGAAGAUUUACGAGGAAUUAUCUGAACAGAGGAUGUCCAAUUCAGAGAUGUUCAAAGGUGUUAAUCCCAUCAAGAUGUAAAAUGCCAUCGUUCUAUUAUUACGAAGGACGCAGAUGUCGGGGAUGCUAUAAAAACAUUUGUCCAGAUGUUGAGCCCACUUAUUAUCCAUACACAAAAUUUUACUGGGGAUGAUUAGGAACAUAAGAUGAAGAUUAUUUGUCAACCUGAAAUCUAUAGUGCCUAAAUAUCAAAGUGGGAUUUGUCCCUAUUAGCUAUAUUAUGGCAAAAUCAUUAUAGUGCUUUUAUUUACCAAAAUAAUAGAAAUUAGUCAAACGCACACAUACUUUGAAGAACUGGACUGUGAUAUGUAUAAACUGGUACAAUUAUAACAUUGUUGUGAAUGCGUUUCAUUGACUGUGACUUGAAGUAGUUGUUUUCUGAAAUUGAUGUAAGAAACAGUCUUUAAUUUGUGUUCUCCGUUAAAAGAAGAAAUCCAGACAGCAGUAGGAUAGAAGAUGUCUAGACUGUUUUUGCUUUUAUUUAUAAUUAUGCAUGCUUGUUAUACUUGUAUUGAAUUAGUUAAUUAAAAAUAUAUUGAAA